rnacentral:rRNA from 1 species
CGGCUGAGAACUCGUAAACAGGACUGCCUAACGGCAAGUAGGAGGAAAGGUGAGGACGGACGUCAAGUCAUCAUGGCCUUACGGUCCAGGGCUACGACACGUGCUACAAUGGGGUAUACAAAGAGACGAGCGAUACGGUGACGUGGAGCAAAUCUAGAAACUAGCCUCUCAGUUCGGAUUGUAGUCUGCAACUCGACUACAUGAAGUUGGAAUCGCUAGUAAUCGUAGAUCAGCAAUGCUACGGUGAAUACGUUCCCGGGUCUU